GACGAACGCUGGCGGCGUGCUUAACACAUGCAAGUCGAACGGAAAGGCCCUGCUUUUGUGGGGUGCUCGAGUGGCGAACGGGUGAGUAACACGUGAGUAACCUGCCCUUGACUUUGGGAUAACUUCAGGAAACUGGGGCUCAUACCGGAUAGGAGCUCCUGCUGCAUGGUGGGGGUUGGAAAGAUACGGCGGUUGGGGAUGGACUCGCGGCUUAUCAGCUUGUUGGUGGGGUAGUGGCUUACCAAGGCUUUGACGGGUAGCCGGCCUGAGAGGGUGACCGGCCACAUUGGGACUGAGAUACGGCCCAGACUCCUACGGGAGGCAGCAGUGGGGAAUAUUGCACAAUGGGCGGAAGCCUGAUGCAGCAACGCCGCGUGCGGGAUGACGGCCUUCGGGUUGUAAACCGCUUUCGCCUGUGACGAAGCGUGAGUGACGGUAAUGGGUAAAGAAGCACCGGCUAACUACGUG
rnacentral:rRNA from 1 species